UUACCGCUGGCGAAACGGUGGGAGGCCACCUCAGCUUUUCCGUCUUUACGGAUGGUGGUUUUUGCAGCCUCAGCAAAUGUUUACAAUAGAGUCGGUUCAAUACAGGAAGUAUUUUUGUCGGGGAGGGAAAAUGGACGAAAGAAGGAAAAAAAUUGUGUUUGCGACUCCGCCGGGACUCGAACCCGGAACCUUUGAAUCUCUUAAUCCUCUAGAAGUCCAAUGCGCUAUCCAUUGCGCCACGGAGCCACCUGUUGGAUUCUUUGUAUACACGCUAUACAAUCCCGAGCCAGACUUCACCCAUAGCUUGAGGGCAAAAGGAGAUUUCUUAAGAUCUGUCUUCGGCUUAAAAUAAAUGUACUCCGGAUUUGAAUUGCUUGGCGCCUCACUCCCACAACUGGAACUGCCUGCCCGUCUUCCAAUUUAGUGCUUGAAGUAUAUUCCGCGGCCCCUUCCACCGGAAACCACCGCAAUAAUUAUGAUUUGGAUUUGGGGAGACUCAUACAUUUUUAAAACUUGUCUGUUGCUUCCAUGAUGAGACAUCUGGAAGUUCGCCCACCACACAUGAAAUGCAUUUCACCCUCCAGCUUGUUGAGAAAACAACACUUCUAAGAUUUGGUGCCAUAAUAUUUAAAAUGAAGAACUCUCUUGAGGCAAAGGCUUCAUCCAUCUUAACACCAUAGUGGCAAUUAGAAGUAAUAUUUAUAUAGCAUUUUUCUAAGGACACAAACAUUUAUUAUCAUUCUGCAUGUAAAUAAAGAUACAAAUGACAGAGCAAAAGGAGACAAAUUUUAACGAUUCAUACUCUGUUUCUUUUGAUAAGCAUUAAUUAAUCAAUUUCAUUUAUAUCAUAAUCAUUAUAUUAUGUUCUUCUGUCCAAAGAACAGAACAGACCUCAAAACAGCCAAUCGUUACGUGUAACACACACAACAGAUAAUAAAAUAUUUCACAUAAAUGGUAAAAAUGCAAAUAAAAAUUAGCAACAACUUAAAGUCUACCAAACAAUUUCAUUUUGUGUAUAUUACCACAUGCUUUACCACAUAAGUGGUAUUUACUAACAUCCAAAGGCCCACAGAAACAAUUCCACUGUUCUUCUUCUGAGUCCCUGCAAGGAUGUCAUAAUCAGAGAAUUUCAAAAGGGAGGGGACAACAUAGAAAGAUCUUUUCCUGAUCUAUUUAAGCCAAAACAACUUUAACAGUUGGCAUCUUUAGAAGGGCAUUUUGGAACAACCUCAAUGAGCGCAGGAGUUUAUAUGAGUAGAAGUUGUCCAGUAGGUAAUCUGGGUCCUAAGUCAUGUAGGACUUUAAAGGUGAUAACCAACAUCUUGAUUUGAACA